AGGACGAACGCUGGCGGCGUGCUUAACACAUGCAAGUCGAACGGUAAGGCCCUUCGGGGUACACGAGUGGCGAACGGGUGAGUAACACGUGGGUGAUCUGCCCUGCACUUCGGGAUAAGCUUGGGAAACUGGGUCUAAUACCGGAUAUGACUACGAAUCGCAUGGUUUGUGGUGGAAAGCUUUUGCGGUGUGGGAUGGGCCCGCGGCCUAUCAGCUUGUUGGUGGGGUGAUGGCCUACCAAGGCGACGACGGGUAGCCGGCCUGAGAGGGUGUCCGGCCACACUGGGACUGAGAUACGGCCCAGACUCCUACGGGAGGCAGCAGUGGGGAAUAUUGCACAAUGGGCGCAAGCCUGAUGCAGCGACGCCGCGUGAGGGAUGACGGCCUUCGGGUUGUAAACCUCUUUCAGUAUCGACGAAGCGCAAGUGACGGUAGGUACAGAAGAAGGACCGGCCAACUACGCGCCAGCAGCCGCGGUA
rnacentral:rRNA from 1 species